UCAUAUUUCUCCGAGCUGCUGCCGCCUACCGUCCAUCGGGCCAUGGGGCAGCAGCCGGGGCCGGUUUCAGGCUGGCCCCCGGGGUGAGGGGCGGAAACGACCUCGCCUUCCCUUAUUUGAAAAGGAGAAC
rnacentral:ncRNA from 1 species